rnacentral:rRNA from 1 species
GACGAACGCUGGCGGCGUGCUUAACACAUGCAAGUCGAACGAUUAACCCGGAGCUUGCUCCGGUGGAUUAGUGGCGAACGGGUGAGUAACACGUGAGUAACCUGCCCUUGACUCUGGGAUAACUGCGGGAAACUGUAGCUAAUACCGGAUACGACCCUCGGCGGCAUCGCCAGGGGGUGGAAAGAAUUUCGGUCAAGGAUGGACUCGCGGCCUAUCAGGUAGUUGGUGAGGUAACGGCUCACCAAGGCGACGACGGGUAGCCGGCCUGAGAGGGUGACCGGCCACAAUGGGACUGAGACACGGCCCAGACUCCUACGGGAGGCAGUAGUGGGGAAUAUUGCACAAUGGGCGCAAGCCUGAUGCAGCAACGCCGCGUGAGGGAUGGCGGCCUUCGGGUUGUAAACCUCUUUUAGUAGGGAAGAAGCGAAAGUGACGGUACCUGCAGAAAAAGCACCGGCUAACUACGUGCCAGCCGCCGCAGUAA